AUAGCUUGCUAUAAUUGUCAGCUAAGUGGCGCACGGGUGAGUAAUGUAUAGACUAACCUGCCCUCUAGAAAGGAAUAACAGUUGGAAACGACUGCUAAUGCCCUAUAUGCCUUUAAUACCAUAAGUAUGCAAGGGAAACGCUUUAGUGCUAGAGGAUGGGUCUGUAUGGUAUCAGUUAGUUGGUGAGGUAAUGGCUCACCAAGACUAUGACGCCUAACUGGUUUGAGAGGAUGAUCAGUCACACUGGAACUGAGACACGGUCCAGACUCCUACGGGAGGCAGCAGUGGGGAAUAUUGCACAAUGGACGAAAGUCUGAUGCAGCAACGCCGCGUGGAGGAUGACACAUUUCGGUGCGUAAACUCCUUUUAUAUAGGAAGAUAAUGACGGUACUAUAUGAAUAAGCACCGGCUAACUCCGUG
rnacentral:rRNA from 1 species